GAUGUCAGAAGGGUAGGAAAGGCAUCUAAAUAGCCCCCAAUGAGAGAGAGAAAGGCACAGAGAAUCCUCGGAAUCCUCGUAUAAGACAGUGUGCGAUUCCAUAAGCAUCAAAUGUUUGCUAGACGAUGAGCGAGCGGUCAAGAGAGAGAAUUUCUCUCUACUACAAAGUAAGGUGCUAGAGAGAUAAAGCAGUAAACUACGCUGUGAGCCUAUGACCAUGAGCAGGAGAGAGAGAGCGGCACUAAGCUUUAGGAUCAUGCGAAUCGCAUCGUGUCGUUUCAGUGAUGUGAUCUCCUGCCACUCUGGAUCUCGCGUCUGGCCAUCGCCCGAUACUCCGUGCUUGCAGAGCCCUGCCACUUACUCGACGAAUAUUCUACUCCCACUCCACCAUAAAAGAUCUUUUUCUCUUUCUAGAUUGUCCUCCACGCCUGUAGGAAGAGGUGCCCUAGAGAGAGAUCCUGCUUUUUCUGGUAUAGAGAUCGAGGGGAAGAAUGGGAAGGGGCAAAGUCCAGCUGAAGAGAAUCGAAAACCCUAACGCCAGGAAGGUGACCUUCACAAAGAGGCGUGAUAGUUUGCUGAGAAAGGCCUUUGAGUUCUCUCUUCUCUGCGAGGUUGACGUUGCCGCCAUCAUCUUCUCAUCAUCUGAUGAGGUUUACGAGUACUCCACGCAAGACAUCAACCAGACAAUUUCUAAAUAUCACAGAGCCAAGGGAACCCUCAAUCAAAGCGAUCAACGUAGCAGCACGGAGGUAAGUUUCAUGAUGGAAGAAUUGGACAAUAUGAAAAGCACAGUUCGUGCAUUGGAGGCCAAAAAUAAGCACUUAUGUGGACAAGACCUGCUGCCCCUCCAGUUGAAAGAAUUGAAGAAGCUCGAGAAAGAGUUAAAUACUGGCUUGGAUCGAAUUCGUAUAAGAAAGAGACAGGUACUUUCAGAGCACACUUGCCUUCUGAAAGAAAAGGUGCAAACUCGACCCCAUAAUCCAUGGAAACAUAAUUUCAAUUGCAUAGUCCAAAAUUUCUUUUUGGAAAACUAUGAAUGCACCUCUGAUUUUGAAAGUUCUAUGAAGAAAUGCAGGUUUUCAAAAUUUAGUAAAGAUAAUUGUCUACAUAUAUAGUGAAGGUGCUCAAGAAAAGGUAACUGUGGAAGAGUAGGAUAUAGGGUGGGUGGUUGCUUGGUCCAAUCCAUACAUUUCUUACCAUAUUCUUAGAUCUGGUGCUUACAUCCUUACAUUGUGUGGGCAAGGAGGUUGAAGAAUAUCACCUAUGCUCAAAAACCAGGUAUUUUCCUUCAUCAAGCUUACUGUAAUGGCUAGACCAGGGAGGGCAAAAAUGUCAAAAGCUCAUGGAAGUAUAAGUUAUUACUGGAUGUUUUGCUCCCCCUUAUUUGGGGUCUGGCCAUAUGUAUAUGAAAUAUAUUCCUCUUGCUCUUAAAGCACCUAAUAGGAACAAACUGGUUUAAGGAUCAUUGACCACAUAUAGUUUAACAGCAGAGUUAACAGGGCAAAAUAGUAAAAAUGAACACUCUCAAUCUAGUGGUGCUUUUGACCUGCCUGAGUCCAUAAAGAAGAAUACUUUUGCAGCCAUUGAAAUUACUUAAAGGAGAGAAAAACAAGAUGAAAUCAAAGAAUAAAAAUUCCAUUUCUAAAUUAUAAAAGGUCCUAUGCUGGCACCAUAGAUCCCUACAUUAGCUCCUCUUUGAGCCUUUACAAUAUUAACAAGAGGCAGUCAGUUUGUCUUUUUUCAUCAUCAUCAUGAUUCGAGCCUUGUUUUAACUAUUUGGGGUAGUUUUCAUCUUUUUUGGUUCAAAAAAUGAUGGGAAGAAUUAAUGGGGAGAUUUGUGACAUGGACAUAGGUAUUUAUGUUUUUAAGCAUGUUGACACACAUGGACCCUGCAGUCAUAUCUAACACUUCACAUCCAAGCAAGUAGUUGUGAAAUGCACCUGCUAAUUGAGAGAUUGUGCACAGCUAGCCAUGUUUCCAAUUUUCUCACUAUCUUUAACUAAUUUUAUUUCACUGUUUAUCUGGAUCCCGUCUAAUCUAGAGUUCUCAUAAAACUGUUUUGUUUUACCUAUGUGCAGUGUAGAGAUCUCAAACGUGAAAAUAUGCACCUUCAAAGAAAACUGGUGGAGACCGACAGCGCUCUUAAUAACUUGGAGCAAGGGGAAGGUGACAAGGCCAUCCAAGGUUGACUACUAUUCCUUGGGAUGGAAGUUCUCUCUUCCUCUCUCUCACACAAACCUUAAAUAAUAAGGAUGAAAUCCCACACUUGAGCAAACUAGUUUCUAGUAAAUAUGUUAUAAGGAUGAAGUCUCUGACUCUUGAAUAGCAACUUCUAAUUCAUAUGUAAUUAAGAUGAAGUGUCUCGUUUUUUAUUUUUUUGGUGGGUGACAAAACCCUUAAUAAUAUGUAAUAAGCAUGAAGUCCCUCGCUUGAGCAAACUGGUUUCUAAUAAUUAUGUAAUAAGGAUGAAGUCUCUCACGUGUGAAUGAGCAAACAACUUCCAAUUAAUAUGUAAUAACGAUGAAGUCU